GCCACGGUGGUCUAGCGGUUAGAACGCUGGUCUUGUAAUCCUGGAGUCUCGGGUUCGAUUCCCGGCGGUGCCC
rfam:Zootermopsis nevadensis contig28880, whole genome shotgun sequence.